rnacentral:rRNA from 1 species
UACGUAGGUGGCAAGCGUUUGUCCGGAUUUACUGGGCGUAAAGAGCGCGCAGGCGGUCGUUUCAAGUCGGAUGUGAAAGCCCACGGCUCAACCGUGGAGGGUCAUUGGAAACUGGGGAACUUGAGUGCAGAAGAGGAAAGUGGAAUUCCAAGUGUAGCGGUGAAAUGCGUAGAGAUUUGGAGGAACACCAGUGGCGAAGGCGACUUUCUGGGACGGUACUGACGCUGAGACGCGAAAAGCGUGGGGGAGCGAACAGG